GUAGGACACUCUGUACGGAGUUACAAAGGACGACAUUAGACGAAUCAUCUGGAAAGAUGAAUCAAAGAAGGUAAUAAUCCUGUAGUCGAAAAUGUUGUCUCUCUUGAGUGGAUCCUGAGUACGACGGAGCACGUGAAAUUCCGUCGGAAUCUGGGAGGACCAUCUCCUAAGGCUAAAUACUCUCUAGUGACCGAUAGUGAACCAGUACCGUGAGGGAAAGGUGAAAAGCACCCCGGAAGGAGAGUGAAAUAGAACCUGAAACCGUGUGCUUACAAGUAGUCAGAGCCCGUUAAUGGGUGAUGGCGUGCCUUUUGUAGAAUGAACCGGCGAGUUACGAUUUGAUGCAAGGUUAAGCAGUAAAUGUGGAGCCGUAGCGAAAGCGAGUCUGAAUAGGGCGUUUAGUAUUUGGUCGUAGACCCGAAACCAGGUGAUCUACCCUUGGUCAGGUUGAAGUUCAGGUAACACUGAAUGGAGGACCGAACCGACUUACGUUGAAAAGUGAGCGGAUGAACUGAGGGUAGCGGAGAAAUUCCAAUCGAACCUGGAGAUAGCUGGUUCUCUCCGAAAUAGCUUUAGGGCUAGCCUCAAGUGAUGAUUAUUGGAGGUAGAGCACUGUUUGGACGAGGGGCCCCUCUCGGGUUACCGAAUUCAGACAAACUCCGAAUGCCAAUUAAUUUAACUUGGGAGUCAGAACAUGGGUGAUAAGGUCCGUGUUCGAAAGGGAAACAGCCCAGACCACCAGCUAAGGUCCCAAAAUAUAUGUUAAGUGGAAAAGGAUGUGGCGUUGCCCAGACAACUAGGAUGUUGGCUUAGAAGCAGCCAUCAUUUAAAGAGUGCGUAAUAGCUCACUAGUCGAGUGACACUGCGCCGAAAAUGUACCGGGGCUAAACAUAUUACCGAAGCUGUGGAUUGUCCUUUGGACAAUGGUAGGAGAGCGUUCUAAGGGCGUUGAAGCAUGAUCGUAAGGACAUGUGGAGCGCUUAGAAGUGAGAAUGCCGGUGUGAGUAGCGAAAGACGGGUGAGAAUCCCGUCCACCGAUUGACUAAGGUUUCCAGAGGAAGGCUCGUCCGCUCUGGGUUAGUCGGGUCCUAAGCUGAGGCCGACAGGCGUAGGCGAUGGAUAACAGGUUGAUAUUCCUGUACCACCUAUAAUCGUUUUAAUCGAUGGGGGGACGCAGUAGGAUAGGCGAAGCGUGCGAUUGGAUUGCACGUCUAAGCAGUAAGGCUGAGUAUUAGGCAAAUCCGGUACUCGUUAAGGCUGAGCUGUGAUGGGGAGAAGACAUUGAGUCUUCGAGUCGUUGAUUUCACACUGCCGAGAAAAGCCUCUAGAUAGAAAAUAGGUGCCCGUACCGCAAACCGACACAGGUAGUCAAGAUGAGAAUUCUAAGGUGAGCGAGCGAACUCUCGUUAAGGAACUCGGCAAAAUGACCCCGUAACUUCGGGAGAAGGGGUGCUCUUUAGGGUUAACGCCCAGAAGAGCCGCAGUGAAUAGGCCCAAGCGACUGUUUAUCAAAAACACAGGUCUCUGCUAAACCGUAAGGUGAUGUAUAGGGGCUGACGCCUGCCCGGUGCUGGAAGGUUAAGAGGAGUGGUUAGCUUCUGCGAAGCUACGAAUCGAAGCCCCAGUAAACGGCGGCCGUAACUAUAACGGUCCUAAGGUAGCGAAAUUCCUUGUCGGGUAAGUUCCGACCCGCACGAAAGGCGUAACGAUUUGGGCACUGUCUCAACGAGAGACUCGGUGAAAUCAUAGUACCUGUGAAGAUGCAGGUUACCCGCGACAGGACGGAAAGACCCCGUGGAGCUUUACUGUAGCCUGAUAUUGAAAUUCGGCACAGCUUGUACAGGAUAGGUAGGAGCCUUUGAAACGUGAGCGCUAGCUUACGUGGAGGCGCUGGUGGGAUACUACCCUAGCUGUGUUGGCUUUCUAACCCGCACCACUUAUCGUGGUGGGAGACAGUGUCAGGCGGGCAGUUUGACUGGGGCGGUCGCCUCCUAAAAGGUAACGGAGGCGCUCAAAGGUUCCCUCAGAAUGGUUGGAAAUCAUUCAUAGAGUGUAAAGGCAUAAGGGAGCUUGACUGCGAGACCUACAAGUCGAGCAGGGUCGAAAGACGGACUUAGUGAUCCGGUGGUUCCGCAUGGAAGGGCCAUCGCUCAACGGAUAAAAGCUACCCCGGGGAUAACAGGCUUAUCUCCCCCAAGAGUUCACAUCGACGGGGAGGUUUGGCACCUCGAUGUCGGCUCAUCGCAUCCUGGGGCUGUAGUCGGUCCCAAGGGUUGGGCUGUUCGCCCAUUAAAGCGGUACGCGAGCUGGGUUCAGAACGUCGUGAGACAGUUCGGUCCCUAUCCGUCGUGGGCGUAGGAAAUUUGAGAGGAGCUGUCCUUAGUACGAGAGGACCGGGAUGGACAUACCUCUGGUGUACCAGUUGUCGUGCCAACGGCAUAGCUGGGUAGCUAUGUGUGGACGGGAUAAGUGCUGAAAGCAUCUAAGCAUGAAGCCCCCCUCAAGAUGAGAUUUCCCAACUUCGGUUAUAAGAUCCCUCAAAGAUGAUGAGGUUAAUAGGUUCGAGGUGGAAGCAUGGUGACAUGUGGAGCUGACGAAUACUAAUCGAUCGAAGACUUAAUCAA
rnacentral:rRNA from 1 species